GAGAGGCAGAAAGUGAAAGUCCGAAGAUGAAGAGGAUCAAGGUUUGAAAGGGAAGAGUCAUGGGCUCGAUUAGAUUAUAUAGCUUAAUUAAGUGUGUAUAUAUCAUAUUUUUAAUUUUACAAGUGCUAUAAUUUUACAAGUGCUAUGUGAUAAAUUGUUGGGAUUGGUUUAUAUAGUGGAAUAUGAGAUGAAUAUAUGAUUCGUGUAAGAGAUAUGCAUUUAUAUAUCGUAUUGGAAUUAUUUGAUAGAAUAUAAUAUGGAUAUGCAGAUGAUAGAAUUGAUACAUUUUACAUAUGGUAUUGAAAGUACAUGAAUCAUAUGAUUAAAGAGGAUCUGUGACGGUCUUGUCCUGAAUCUGAAAA